rnacentral:ncRNA from 2 species
CUCUUAUCCAGAGAGGUGGAGGGACCGGCCCUGUGAAACCUCGGCAACCUAUCAGCGACAUCGGCUAAUCGAUCCAGUCUAAUCGCUUUCAAGGUGCCAACUCCGGCAGAGGUGUUUUCUGGAAGAUGAGAG